rnacentral:rRNA from 1 species
AUUGAACACUGGCGGCAUGCCUUACACAUGCAAGUCGAACGGUAACAGGUCUUCGGAUGCUGACGAGUGGCGAACGGGUGAGUAAUACAUCGGAACGUGCCCGAGAGUGGGGGAUAACGAAGCGAAAGCUUUGCUAAUACCGCAUACGAUCUCAGGAUGAAAGCAGGGGACCGCAAGGCCUUGCGCUCAUGGAGCGGCCGAUGGCAGAUUAGGUAGUUGGUGGGAUAAAAGCUUACCAAGCCGACGAUCUGUAGCUGGUCUGAGAGGACGACCAGCCGCACUGGGACUGAGACACGGCCCAGACGCCUACGGGAGGCAGCAGUGGGGAGUUUUGGACAAUGGGCGCAAGCCUGAUCCAGCCAUGCCGCGUGCAGGGUGAAGGCCUUCGGGUUGUAAACUGCUUUUGUACGGAACGAAAAGACUCCUUCUAAUAAAGGGGGUCCAUGACGGUACCGUAAGAAUAAGCACCGGCUAACUACGUGCCAGCCGCCGCCGUAACAC